UACGUAGGGGGCUAGCGUUGUCCGGAAUCACUGGGCGUAAAGCGCGCGUAGGCGGUCUGGUAAGUCCGCUGUGAAAGUCGAGGGCUCAACCCUCGAAUGCCGGUGGAUACUGUCGGGCUUGAGUACGGGAGAGGCGAGUGGAAUUCCUGGUGUAGCGGUGAAAUGCGCAGAUAUCAGGAGGAACACCGAUUGCGAAGGCAGCUCGCUGGGACGUUACUGACGCUGAGACGCGAAAGCGUGGGGAGCAAACAGG
rnacentral:rRNA from 1 species